AGUGAACGCUGGCGGUAGGCCUAACACAUGCAAGUCGAACGGCAGCACAGUAAGAGCUUGCUCUUACGGGUGGCGAGUGGCGGACGGGUGAGGAAUACAUCGGAAUCUACUUUUUCGUGGGGGAUAACGUAGGGACACUUACGCUAAUACCGCAUACGACCUACGGGUGAAAGCAGGGGAUCUUCGGACCUUGCGCGAUUGAAUGAGCCGAUGUCGCAUUAGCUAGUUGGCGGGGUAAAGGCCCACCAAGGCGACGAUCCGUAGCUGGUCUGAGAGGAUGAUCAGCCACACUGGAACUGAGACACGGUCCAGACUCCUACGGGAGGCAGCAGUGGGGAAUAUUGGACAAUGGGCGCAAGCCUGAUCCAGCCAUACCGCGUGGGUGAAGAAGGCCUUCGGGUUGUAAAGCCCUUUUGUUGGGAAAGAAAAGCAGCAGGUUAAUACCCCGCUGUUCUGACGGUACCCAAAGAAUAAGCACCGGCUAACUUCGUG
rnacentral:rRNA from 1 species